rnacentral:rRNA from 1 species
AAAAACAUCGCCUGGGGAAAUAAUCUUAGGUCGUGCCUGCCCGGUGACUAAAUUAAACGGCUGCAGUACUCUGACUGUGCAAAGGUAGCAUAAUCAUUUGCCUAUUAAUUGUAGGCUGGAAUCAACGGCUUGACGAAGAAUUAACUGUCUCUUUCUUCUUAAUUUGAAUUUGGAAUUAUAGUGAAGAUACUAUAAUAAAAUUGUUAGACGAGAAGACCCUAUAGAGCUUGAAGUGUUCUUUAUAAGUUAAUUAAAGUUUAUUUUUGGUUGGGGCAACUUUUAUUAAAUAAAACAGUAAAAAAAAUAAAAUAAAUUGAUUUAUAUAAUUGACCUUGAAGUUUCGAGAAGUAAGAAAAAGUUACCUUAGGGAUAACAGCGUAAUUUUCUUUGAGAGUUCAUAUUGACAAGGAAGUUUGCGACCUCGAUGUUGGAUCAAGAUAUCCUGGAGGUGCAGCCGCAUCCAAGGGUUGGUUUGUUCAACCAUUAAAAUCUUACGUGAUCUGAG